CCUACGGGAGGCAGCAGUGGGGAAUAUUGGACAAUGGGCGCAAGCCUGAUCCAGCAAUGCCGCGUGAGUGAUGAAGGCCUUAGGGUCGUAAAGCUCUUUUACCAGGGAUGAUAAUGACAGUACCUGGAGAAUAAGCUCCGGCUAACUCCGUGCCAGCAGCCGCGGUAAUACGGAGGGAGCUAGCGUUGUUCGGAAUUACUGGGCGUAAAGCGUACGUAGGCGGUUAUUCAAGUCAGAGGUGAAAGCCCGGGGCUCAACCCCGGAACGGCCUUUGAAACUAGGUAGCUAGAAUCUUGGAGAGGUCAGUGGAAUUCCGAGUGUAGAGGUGAAAUUCGUAGAUAUUCGGAAGAACACCAGUGGCGAAGGCGACUGACUGGACAAGUAUUGACGCUGAGGUACGAAAGCGUGGGGAGCAAACAGGAUUAGAUACCCUGGUAGUCCACGCCGUAAACGAUGAUAACUAGCUGUUCGGGCACUUGGUGCUUGAGUGGCGCAGCUACGCAUUAAGUUAUCCGUCCGUCGGGUAGGUACGGUCGCGAAGAAGUUAAACGUAACGAAAGAAGUAGUAAGGUACGUGUUAGAGUAGUUCGACGACGACGACGAGGAGGGAGGAG
rnacentral:rRNA from 1 species